rnacentral:lncRNA from 1 species
AGUACAUGAGCUGCCAUGGACCUGGUCAAAGUGAGGAACAAAUUCAUCUGGACGUGGAUACUUGCUGGUAUUUGUGUUUCUGUGACUGUAACUGGACGUGGACACGACGCUCAAAAUUACACGCAGGAUCCUUACAUCGUGUCUCCGGGGAGAGUCCAGUAUGGCAGUGAUGUAAACCUGACAUGCUAUAUUUUAAUUAACG